UACGUAGGGGGCAAGCGUUGUCCGGAUUUACUGGGCGUAAAGAGCGCGUAGGCGGAACGUUAAGCGGGGCCGGAAAGCCCUCGGCUCAACUGAGGAAGUGCACCCGAAACUGGCGAGCUUGAGUACGAAAGAGGAUCGCGGAAUUCCCGGUGUAGAGGUGAAAUUCGUAGAUAUCGGGAGGAACACCGGUGGCGAAGGCGGCGAUCUGGGUCGAUACUGACGCUGAGGUGCGAAAGCGUGGGGAGCAAACAGG
rnacentral:rRNA from 1 species